GGGGAUUUAGCUCAGUGGUAGAGCGCUUGCCUAGCAAGCACAAGGCCCUGGGGUCAGUCCUCA
rnacentral:tRNA from 1 species